CAGCAAUGCCGCGUGAGUGAAGAAGGCCUUCGGGUUGUAAAGCUCUUUUGUCAGGGAAGAAACAGCAGCUCUAACACAGUCUGCGAAUGACGGUAC
rnacentral:rRNA from 1 species